ACGCGGGGAUAUAUACGCUUCCUAGGGAUUUGUAUAUAUCAAAAAAAAAAUAAAAUAGUUGAGUUUGGUGAUGGCUCUGAAUGAACGCUAUCCAAGUGCAUGACACAUGCUAAUCGAACGUUUUAAUUUAUAACUUAAGUAGUAAUAUUUAAGAUCUAUAAAUUAAAAGGUGGUGUAUAGGUGAGUAAUUUUGUAACCUAUAGCCGACCUUAAAGUGAAGAGAAAUCCUUCAUAAUAACUUAUCUGUAUAAAACGGUAGUUUUACGGACCUUAAAUCAGUAAAACUAUAUGUUAACAUUUAAAAUAUAAAAGGAAAAUAUAUAAUUUUCCGCUUUAAGAGGACAAGGGUUAUGU
rnacentral:rRNA from 1 species